UUAUAUUUUUUAUUAAUUUAAAUUUCAAUAAAUAAGUUAGUGACUUUAGUAUGUUUUAUAUAUUAUUUCUUGUUGUAGUCUAAUUAUUUAAUUUUUUAUAUUUUAUUAAUAUAAAAUUACUUAGUUAAUACUUUAUUUUUGUAUUCUAUAAAAGACAAAAAUGAAGAAGAACCAAAAAAAAAAAAAAGAUAAACUAAACGAAAAAAAAGAGAGAGAGAAAACAAAUAAAAUAACAAAAAAUGGAGACAAACAGUUGUCUAAAAAAAAUAAAAAAAGGAGAUUAGGAAACAAACCAAAAGAAAAAGGAGUUGGGAACAAUUGGGUAACUGACGGAGUAAUUGAGGCCUCAAUUCUAGAGGGUAUACGGCAGACAAGGGUAAAUAUUUUGUCUUUUAUGGGUAUUUUGUGUUGAUUUCCCCUAUUUUUAUUUUAUAUUGAUCUCAUUAUAAUUGGAUUCUUAUGAAUUUUGUACUCGUCCAUUUGGACAAAGAUCGCGUAUUGCUCUUGACUUGAUGCUCCUGCCUCCUGCAUAACAGAGAAUUAUGAAUUUAGAGCAAAAACCUUAAUAGAGUAUCGAAUAUAUUGUACGUUCACAAACAGUAUAAACAAUAUAAAACUUAUAUUCAUAAAAGUAUCCAAUGCAUGUUUCUUUUCAAGUCUACCAAACUUUAAUGAUUAAACACUAUCAUAGAGUAUAGAUACAUUGUUUAUGCAUGAUCAUACAAAAUAGCUACAUUAUGUAUACACUCAAUUUACAAAUAAAUCCAUUGUCUCUAACAUUCCCGAAAUUCCAGGAGCACCACGUCAAGAGCAAUACAUGAUUGCUCUUGAUUUAACCGUUAACACACGCACACAAAAAAAGAAUUUUUAGAUAAGGACAAAAAUAAAGUUUUCAAAAGAUGCUAUUGUCCAACACGAUGCUAUUGUUCAAAGAGCAAUUUCCCAAACUUGAGGGGUAAUGAAAACAGAAGCAGAAAAUACUCCAUCUAUAAAUAACCGCCUUUCCCUUCAACUCGCAUGCAAUUUGAUCGGCAAAAACAUGGAUGAAACCGGUGACAUGUGCAACGACGGCAGCACUCCAAUGAUUAUAGCUUCAAUAUGAUCACAUAUGUCAGAAGGUGCAAGCAGCAUGUAUUGAGGAUAGAUGAGAGAAAUUCGCUUGAGAUGGUGGGUGGUGCACACAAGCUGGCCCGGACACCACGGUUUUCACAAAAGAAAAACAUAACUGUUUGUCACACCAGGAUCGACAAUUUUGUCUUGAGAUAAUAUUGAUUUAAUGUGUGAACUAGGUCCUUGUUUUUGUUAAGAUUUUCUGAGACCUGACAAGGAUAGGAUAAGAGAAUAAUGAGGAACACAGGCCCUAUUGUAUAACCUAGUGAGACUAAAACUUGUUUCAUUGAGGUACAUUUAUUAAUGAGUAACAUGUGUUUGAGAAGCAAAUAUGACACCCUUCUGCUUCUCUAUAAAAUUCAAUGUUCACACUCCAGAAAGGUUUCGGCUAAGUGAAUAGCUGUCCCGAUUGCACUAGUUUUUGUGCCUUUAGCUCACAAAUUCUGAGGGGGGGAAAAUAGCGGGUUUAAUCUUUUUUUCUGUUAUUAAAAUGCACUAGUUUCUCAACUAAUGUGUUGGAGAAGAUGAAGGAAUGAGUGGUCUAUUCUUGAUUCUUUCACUAUGGAUAAGGUUUGGGCUAUGUCUGUUCUGUCAUGAUUUUUCUGUAAUUUGUUGUGCAACUAGUUCAUGUAUUCACUUAGAAUCAUCCUGGAUUUAUUGCUUGGGAUUAUAGAUGAAAUUACAGGUUCAAUUGCAUGAAUGCAAUUAUUUCACGAGCAUGACUGAUAUUAACUUUGUGAAGGCUGAUGCAUUUAGCAGAUGAAAGAGGUGAAAUGUGUUAAACAACCUUAGGUUCUCUGUUAGUGGAUAUGUGUCUCCUCCACUGAAUGAACUGUCGUGGUAUUAAAUUUAUGAGUCACGCAAAGAAGCAUUGUGAAAGAGCCAGCUUUAACAUUUAAUCAUGUUGAGCCUGAAUGAACAGUCGUGGUAUUAAAUUUAUGAGUCACGCAAAGAAGCAUUGUGAAAGAGCAAUGAAGUAUAGACUUAGAGAUAUUAUAAGGGUGACAGAGAACCGGUUUGAGUUUGGGUUUAUGCCUGGUUGAUUUACAACAAAGGCUUUCAUAAGACGUUCAAGCAAAAUUUAUAGGGAGAGAAAGGACACUAUACUCCACUUAACCUUCAUGCUAGCGAAUCCUUUAUAUAAGGCUUCCUGGUGCGCAAUUUAUAUGAUAAGAGUGAAAUUCAUCAACCCUUGGGGAGUGCUGGAGAAGGAAGAAAGAUACAUGUUUUUUAAAAGAUAUGUACAAAGUAGCGGGAACAAAUGUGAGAAUAGUGGAGGACAUAUGGAGUUUGCCAGAAGCAAUUAUUUGUAUUGAGUCUGUACUUUGUCCUGAGCAUGGAUGAGGUAACCAAUAGUAUACGUAAAGAGGGUUCAUGAAGCAUUCAAUUUGCAGAUGGUAUUAUGUUAAUUGACAUAAGUAGCUAUGUUAACAAAAAGUUAAACUCUGGAGAAGUUCCAUGGGGCAUGAAAGUGUCAUGACUCAUGAUAAGUAGAAGCAGAUUGAAGACUUUGAAAGUUAUCCUCUACAAGAUGAAUGAAAGUGAAAUGAGAUUAGACCUGAUUGUGGUUCUUAAAUACCGACAAUUUAGAUACUUUGGCAUAGUCUUUCUGGAGAAUGGCAUGAAAAGACAAAGAUGUAACAAAGAGAAUAAAAAUGAAUGACCUAAUAGAGGAGUGCUUCAGGAGUACUAGGUGAUAGGGUGUUCAAUAGAACAAUUGUGAAACUAAUAACGUUUCACAAAUAAUGUUAUACGAAGGGGGAAUGUUGGACCUCUCUAAGACUCAACAUAUCCACAACGUGAAUGUAGUGGAAAUGUGGAAACCACAAAGUGAUUUUUAUUUGCUUUUGUCAUGGUGUGUUCUUUGCAUGAAAAUUGGAUGCUGUCAAGGCAUCUCAAGUUUCACACCCACCUAGAAAACCAUUUGUGGUCCUCUUAGUUUAAAGAAUCUAGGAGAAGAAAACUCUAAAUCUUGAAGUUGAUUGUUACCUCCUUUGCAGGUAACUCACCUGUACUGUUUAACAAAGCCCACUACUAUCCUUGAUUUUCUAAGGAGGGAUUAUUUCUUUUCUCUUAUUAUACUAAUGUUGAUCUCCUUCUCU